rnacentral:tRNA from 2 species
GGGGCUAUAGCUCAGCUGGGAGAGCGCCUGCCUUGCACGCAGGAGGUCUGCGGUUCGACCCCGCAUAGCUCCACCA